rnacentral:rRNA from 1 species
GAUGAACGCUGGCGGCGUGCCUAAUACAUGCAAGUCGAACGCUGGAAAUCUAGCUUGCUAGAUUGAAGGAGUGGCGAACGGGUGAGUAAUACAUAAGCAACCUACCCACGAAGACUGGGAUAAUCUCUGGAAACGGGGACUAAUACCGGAUAGGUAAUCGGAAGGCAUCUUCUGAUUAUUAAAGGUUAAAAACACUGGUGGAUGGGCUUAUGGCGCAUUAGUUAGUUGGUGAGGUAACGGCCCACCAAGACGAUGAUGCGUAGCCGGCCUGAGAGGGUGAACGGCCACAUUGGGACUGGGACACGGCCCAGACUCCUACGGGCGGCAGCAGUAGGGAAUUUUCGGCAAUGGGGGAAACCCUGACCGAGCAACGCCGCGUGAGUGAUGACGGCCUUCGGGUUGUAAAGCUCUGUUGUAAGGGAAGAACGGUAGAUAGAGAAUAUCUAAAUGACGGUACCUUACCAGAAAGCCACGGCUAACUACGUG